CGAACGGGUGAGUAAUGCGUGACCAACCUGCCCCAUGCUCCAGAAUAGCUCUUGGAAACGGGUGGUAAUGCUGGAUGCUCCAACUUGACGCAUGUCUUGUUGGGAAAGUGUUUAGUGGCAUGGGAUGGGGUCGCGUCCUAUCAGCUUGUAGGCGGGGUAAUGGCCCACCUAGGCUUCGACGGGUAGCCGGCCUGAGAGGGCGGACGGCCACAUUGGGGCUGAGAUACGGCCCAGACUCCUACGGGAGGCAGCAGUU
rnacentral:rRNA from 1 species